GACGAACCGUGCGAACGUUGUUCGGAAUCACUGGGCUUAAAGGGCGCGUAGGCGGCCGCGAACGCCCGGGGUGAAAUCGUCCGGCUUAACCGGACCAGGGCCCCGGGUACGGCGCGGCUGGAGGGGGGUAGGGGCGGGCGGAACUUCCGGUGGAGCGGUGAAAUGCGUUGAGAUCGGAAGGAACGCCGGUGGCGAAAGCGGCCCGCCGGGCCCCGCCUGACGCUGAGGCGCGAAAGCCAGGGGAG
rnacentral:rRNA from 1 species